rnacentral:misc_RNA from 1 species
UUAAAACCCUUGCGACACUUGCUAACAUAAUUUCUAGUGAACCUGCGGAAGGAUCAUUACCGAGUAAGGGUCUUCCAGGCCCGACCUCCAACCCUUUGUUUAACCAACCACGUUGCUUUGGCGGGCCCGCCCUUUGGGGCCGCCGGGGGCUUCACCGCCCCUGGCCCGUGCCCGUCGGUAGCCAUCUCAAAUUCUGAUAACUGUGCCGUCUGAGUAUAGAUAUAAAUCGUUAAAAAACUUUCAACAACGGAUCUCUUGGUUCU